GCUGAUUGCGACGAGUUCCUCGACCAUUUCCUUCAUUUCCUCCUUGUUGCUAUGGCGGCGGCUGAUAAGACUGUUAGAUUCAGAGCCUGCCAGAUUUUCUCAGAGAUAAUAUUGCGGUUACCAGAUGAUGCAGAAGUGAGCAAUGACCUAUGGGACGAGGUGAUAGAGGGCAUGAAGGUUAGGGUACGAGACAAGAUCUAUUUGGUGCGUACGAGACAAGAUCUAUUUGGUGCGUACUUUUGCGGUUAGGGCACUUUCACGUUUCGUGAAUGACUCUUCUAAUGUUGACAUUCUUGAUUUGUUCCUUGAGAUGCUUCCUUUGGAGCAAAAUGCGGUGCUAUGAGAUCGACUGGAGAUCAAGGAUUAUAACUGUGAAGGAAUCAUAUGUAGUUUUGGAUAAACCUGCUGGCACUUCAGUAUGUAAUCAGUCUUACACUAUGUACUCAGAAAUAGUUAUUAAUCUCGUAUAGGAUUCUUAUAGAAUUGUUUUUAAAUUUUAGAUAGUAAACAACAACAGUCGUAAGUCCUGUCA